GAUGGGAUGGCUGAGCAUGGUAAAGCAACAGUUUGCUAAACUGAAGCCCCAAGGGGCUCAUGGGUUCAAAUCCCAUUCUCAUCA
rnacentral:tRNA from 2 species